rnacentral:piRNA from 1 species
UUUACUUCCGUAGCACAGAUUCCAUGGUC